AUGCACUGAGCAUGUAAAUGACCACUGAACAAAAGAAGAAGAAAGAAACAGCAAGGCACGCUUUUUCUAUAGCGUUCGUUUCCAUAGUGACUCGAUGAUUCGUCGCUCUGUUGAGAAUGUCUUGAGUCUUAACCAGGAACAUACUCUGAGUUGAAUGAACUUUCUCCCGGACGCGUCGCGUUUUUGGAACCACGUACCUCGAGUAAGCAAGGUUUGGGGUUAAUCAACCGAAAUUUUAGGGUUAGCUGACGCUAAGUUAACCAUGCUUUCUGGAAUACACCCCUGGGGCCCGUUUCAAAAAGGAGGUUAAGUGAAAACUCUGAGAAUCAUUCGCGGUGCGAAAAAGCAAAGAUUAUUUUUUUUCGUCCUGUGUGUCGAUUUUUUUCCGCGGUCGCUCCGCAAUGAAACGGGCCGUCCAGUCAGAUUUGAGCUUAGAUCAUUUGCGUGAAGCAGCUGCUGUUGCACAAAAAGCCAAAGAGUGGGCUGUUUCUAAAACCAGUGUAAACAAACACCGAAGAAGAGUAUUCAGACAGAGAGAGAAGAGAGUGGAUGCCGAGUUCUUGUUAUCUUUGGUAUCUGAGAACAGAUUUAUUCUAAUAUAUUCUUAAUAUAAUUUCUGUUAAUUCUCCACUGAAUUAUGUGAUCUGAUUAUGUGAUUUUCAUGCAUGUGCGUGAAAAAAUAUGUGGAAAAUAAUGUCUUUUGAACCUUAAACCGCAUAAACACAUUGCAUUACACCAAAUACACAAAGUGAAAGUGACAGCCAAUAGGAAAGAAGACAGCAGAGCUCAUGUGAUCUCCUCUCAGCUGUUGAUAAAUGAUCUGCAACGGAAAAAAACAGCAAGAAACCUGAUUCGCUGUAAAGGCAACCAGUAGUGAUAAUGCCAUGGAGAAUGCCCACUAGCAACCUCAUCGCUAGCCCCUGGCAACAUGCUAGUGUGAGCACAGCUUGAAAGCAACGUUCGUCGGCGAUUCAUUCACCUCACUUUUUCGCAUCGCACUCAGUGUGAAACGACCUUAACUGAGUCAGUGCAUCAGUAUUUAAAUUUUUUUUUUUUUUUUUUACAUAAUGUUACAUGCAGUAGGCAUAUUUCUUUUUGUGUGCUGGGGUAUGGGGAUAUUGCAUUGCAGAUAUUUCUGUUGCUUUGGUAUAUGUGAGUAUACAUAUUAUUUAAUUAAAAAUAAUGUGUUUGCAGGUGGCUGCAAAUUGAUGAUGGCAAGCCAACAGUCCAUUUAUUGAUCACAUGUACACAAAAUGGCAAAACUGUCUGUUUGAUCAUUAGUACAUUUUUAAUGCAAGGGGAAACAGCAGCACAUUGGACAAAUUUACAUCAAAACAAAAAUGUUUUUGAUCAAGCUUUGUACUUCAACUUAUUUUUGUUUAACAGCAUUUUGGUCCUUACUCAAAGCAAGCAAGCAGUUAACAUCGCUGAACAUAUAAGGGUAUUUACUCAAGAUAAUAAUAGUGAUAAACCUUCACUGUUUGUGUUGCUGUUUUUACAUUUUAAAAACACAUUAAAAUGGGAAUGAAAUAGAUUAAAGACUGAUAUAUCCAUCUCAGUAGAUCUUUGACAUUUUUUAGUUUUUUUUUUCAGUCUAGUUUCUUGACUGCCUGCCUCUUCAGUUUCUUUUGGAGGAGCAGAAGGUCAGGGUAAACACAGUGAUUCACAACACUUGAAGCACAGAGAAGUCCACCAUGUAAAGCACCAGAGUAACCAGCAGAGAAAACAUCUUGCCCUGAGAUGAAACACAAAAAAAUACAUUUGUAAGUAGACCAGGCAAAUCAUACUACUAUCUUUAAUACACCACUUAAAUAUUUAAUAUUAUUAUAAGGUUUUCUGUUAUAUUUCUGAUAAUUAUGACUGGUCAAUCACAACAUUAACAGUCAAAUAUUUCUUAAUAAUGGCAGCUAAUCCAAUAAACCAACUUCCUACAUUGCUGUGCUCAUGAAAUGUCUUAUCACUCAAACUCAGAGUAUUACCUGACAGGUAGAGGUUCUUGACAGGAGUGUUGCAUCUGGUCAUGGCAAUGUUCAGAGGCUGGUAUCUCUCCAGACUGUGCUCUGCAGACAGCAUGGAUCCAUGUGUGGCCCCCAGCCCAUGCAUAUUUAUGGGAGUGACUGCAUGCAGCAACACCAACUAAAAACAGAUCAUUUUUACAUAUUUUCUGCUUUUUAAACUUUAUUACUGUUCAGUUAUUAAGCAGCACUCAAAUAUGAUACAUGACUAAUUUACCUUCUCUUUCAGUUUGGGGAAGUGGACACAAGCCCAAUCAAAGAGAUGAUAAGCAAAUCUCAUCUUGUAUUUUUCAUAUUCUUGUCCUCUUUCAGUCUCACUGAUGUUGUUCCACUGUCCAAACCACUUUGAAUUGACCAUAGUGUGGAUCACCAUACGUGACUGUCCUAAAAAUGCAAAUAGAUUUAGGCAAAUAAUUUUGAGUCCUUGUCCUGACUGUAUAAAACUUAAGAAUAGAGCAAAGGACAUAUGAGAAACCUGGGAAGCGGGUAAUCGAGGUGGGAUCCUUUGCAGAGGGAAAGGAGACGUACAUCAUGGGGAUGUUUUCAGGUGCGUCCUCCUUGUCUGAAGCAAAGUAUUCUUCCAUCCUAAUCAUUAUAUACACUUAUUACGGUUUAUUCUCAUCACUGUUAACAUAAGCACUUUAACAGCAUUGAAGAGUGAAAGAUGGACUUGUGCACCUACAUUUCAUCCAUGUUGUUGCUCUUAUAGAGUCGCAUGUUGGUUGAAGAUAUGCCCAGUUCUUCUUUGGUGGCAUUAAAGCCUGCAAACACCUGGAAAAAUCCUUUGCCUGGUUUCAAAGUAUGAAGAUAGCCCUUGACGUCUGUAAAUGGCAAGAGAUGUACACCAUCAUAUGACCACUAAUGGGCUUUUGAGUUCAUAUCUUGAUUCAUAGUACCACAUAUAUACGUAGAAGGUGUUCACUUGCUUACCCGCAUUUGCCUGAAUCUCUGGAGGCAGAAGCUUCUUGAAGGUGGUGAACAUGCCAACAUUUGAAAUGAUCACAGGAGCCCGAACUUCAACAUCUUCACCCGCUGUCUUCACAGCCACUCCUGGUCAGACAAAAAACAAUGCAUUUUAAGAAUGCCAAUAUGUAAUGGAGAACCCAUUUUGGGUUCCACUAGGGCUAUUGAAUAUCUAUUGUUUUCUCCAGAUCAGACCACAAACUCACCAUAAACAUUUUGCUUUCCAUCAACUAGAAUGCUAGACACAGGAGCACUGACAAGGACUUUCCCUCCAUGCUUUUCCAAAACCUGGAUGAUGUGGUAUGGGAUCUCACUGGCACCACCUUUAGGAUAGUACCGGCCACGCUUGGAGUGGUGCAGGAAGAGGGCAUCGAUCAUGCAGCUGGCGUUUUUUGGUGGGACACC